CGUUAUUGUAUGACGAUUAGAGGGAUAUUUAACACAGCGGAAGCCCAGAAGAAGCAAGUGAGAAGGGCUUGAAGAUUACUGCAUUGUAGAUGUUCCCCAGAGCCUCAGGCAUCCAUAGGCUGGGCUUUGUGAAGGAUUGUGGUUGAUGGUCUCCCAACAGCAAGAGGUUAUGGAGGAGAUCUCAUCUGCAGACAAGGAGGAGAAAAACACAGAAGAAUCCCUUACUUCAAAUGAUAUUAGGGAGAUAUAUAAAAUUUAGGAAACAGUGCAAAAUUUUGUAGAAAAGCACCACCCAAAUGAGGCUGUAACAGUGCAAGAGAUGAAUCUGUUUAACAACAAUGAAAUGUCACAUUUCUGCAAAAUCCUCAAAAGGAGGCAAAAGCAAGUGUCACUAGAUAGGUUCCUUGUUAAAGUUGCACAAAAAUUAAAAGAUUCUAUUGAUCCAGUAGAUAGCAGUGAUUCCAUCAGUGACAGUGAACAUCAUCCUGCAUAAUAACCCUCCUCUCUCUUGUCUCCCUCACAUCAGCCAUUAAAGUUUUCAAAGCACUAGGGAUUGAACUCAGGACCUUGCACUUGGCAGGCAGGCACAAUGCCACUGAGCUACAUCCCCAGCAUGACUUCCUAGGAUACAGAGAAGUGACCAUGCAGCUGAGUGGAUGGGCCAGUAACAACCUGAAGUCCUGUUGAGCCACUUCAUCAUCUCAGCAGCAUUAGACGUGUCGCGAGCUGUGCGGGGACCACCUGCCCGGGGCCUACCUGCCUGGGUGUUACUCUUCAGCUGCCCGGGGACCCAGGGCCUGCCUUCCUGGGCACCACUCUUCUUCAGCUUCCUGGGACCUGUCUGCCUCCAUGCCACUCUUCUGCCCAGCCAGCCUCCCUGCCAUUAGCAGUGGGGCCAACAGCAAGAGCCACAGCCAGAUCCAGACAAUGGCAGAGAGCAGAAAGACCAUUGUUCUGAGCUCAGGAAGAUGGCAGAGUGGUGAGCAACAGAGAGAAGGCCUCUCUCAGGACUGUGGCUGAGAAUUGAAGCCCACUGGGAGAGGGAAGAUAGCCACUGCAAUAAAGACCCAGUGGACUUCAGUGGUUGUAAAUGAAAACAAAACAAAACAAAAAACCUCAAAACAGCUUCAAACAGUGACAAAGAAAGGACUUGACAAGGAUGCUAGAAAUUAGCAGGAACAGGAUACAGUACUUGCUGUGGGAACUUGGAAACUUCUGAACAUCACAGGCUGAGAAGGUUUCAUGAGGCCAUUAGGAGAAUUAAAGAAGCAACAAGUCACUUCAUUUUCUGUGGGAAGCUGAGCCGAUCCCAGCACCCGGAAGGAAGCUCCCCCGCCACCAUCCCAAGCUCCUAGGGCAGAGAAGGUGAGCUGGUCCCAGAACCCAGAAGGAAGCUCCACCACCGCCAUCCCAAGCUCUUAGGGGAGAGAAGGUAAUAUUUGAUACUUACUGAACAGUAUUAGUAUAUAUGCUGAUUAUGAAGCAGAAAAAUGAAAUGAACCUCCUUGAACUUAGCACCCAGGUACCAAGGAUUGGACUAAAACCUUGCGCUUGCCAGGCAGGCACAGUGGCCACUGAGCUACAUCCCUGGAUAGGGUUUGUUUCUUUUAAAGUCCUUCUCCCAGUCUAUAGUUAGCAUCCCUCCUAAUCCAUUUGUUCACACAGCAAUUGGAGUCCAUGAGAGAAAACUAAGGAAGGUGCUGCCAUACAGAGGAAAUUCGGAACCCUCCCAGGCUUUCCUUCUGUUUCCUCAUUACUGUUGUGUUCUCCCAAGAGCACAGAGAGAGGGCACAGCUCACUAAUCUCAGAACUGUGUCUUCUUUACCUUUGCUUAUUCAGAUUGUCCAAAUGAGGAUAUAUGUUUAGAUCUAGAUUUCCUUCUUUUUGACCUCUUGCAAGUAUGCUUGCUUUGCUGAGAAUACUAAAGCACCAAAGGUCCAUGGUGUGUAGUAUGUUGAGUGAAAGGGCAAAAAUUCACCGAGUGGGG
rnacentral:lncRNA from 1 species